AAAAGGAAGACUGCCUUACCUGCAGGGGAAAGGGCUGGAUGACAUUGAGGUCAAUCCUGAAGAUGAAGUAGAAAUGAGUGAUGAUGAUUCCAGCGAAGAAACCAUUGCUGACCUACAUCAAUGCAAAGAGACUUCUAGGGACCAGACACUUCUGAGGCAAACACCAGAGUCAACCACCCUGGACAACAUGGAGGGCACUUCUGAGUCAACCACCCUGGACAACAUGGAGGGCACUUCUGAGUCAACCACCCUGGACAACAUGGAGGGCACUCCUGAGUCAACCACCUUGGAUAACGUAUUUAAAUACAGUUGUAUUUUGUUUCCAUUUAUGAAAGCUGUGAAGGUGAGAAGCAAGUGGACAGGUGAUGAA